rnacentral:RNase_MRP_RNA from 12 species
ACGGGAAAGUCCCCGAACCCAUUGGUGUCGUUCAGGCGCUCCAAAGCGGAUGACGCCUCGCCUUCAUGGAACCGAAAGAACACCCAACGAUGCCAGCUCUGUCCAAUCCUUUGUGUCAGAUGCAAAUCUCCACACAAGUAGACCCCGCCGUCCAAGAAAUCGCGAAGGCUCUUUUCAUCCAUUUCCUCAUCGUAAGGAAUCCUAGCACAGAGAAUCAUAUACUCGGGAUUCCCAUCCCAUUUCUUUUCUGCAUGGGAGCCACUAUCCACCAGCGGCGGGUGCGCUCCCAUGUGGCUGUCGUCGCAGGGCGCAUCGAUUUUUGCGGGUGGGGGGGGCGGCAUCGAAUGCUUCUGCUCCGGGGCUGGUGUUUUCUCUUCUGUGACGAUCGUUUUGCAGGCGAGGAGUGUGAC